UACGGGGGGAGCAAGCGUUGUUCGGAUUUACUGGGCGUAAAGGGCGCGUAGGCGGCCUCUGCAAGUCGACUGUGAAAUCUCCGGGCUUAACCCGGAAAGGUCAGCCGAUACUGCAGGGCUAGAGUGCAGAAGGGGCAACUGGAAUUCUCGGUGUAGCGGUGAAAUGCGUAGAUAUCGAGGGGAACACCUGCGGCGAAGGCGGGUUGCUGGGCUGACACUGACGCUGAGGCGCGAAAGCUAGGGGAGCGAACGGG
rnacentral:rRNA from 1 species